rnacentral:piRNA from 1 species
CAAGGUUAGGUGAACAGAGAUUCCAUGGU